rnacentral:piRNA from 1 species
UAGCCAUACUUGCUUUAGCGUGUGCUGGA